rnacentral:misc_RNA from 1 species
GAAUGAAGGAGAGGAUGGAGAAUAGAAUGAAUCGAAGGCUAAAGGGAUAACAAUUUUGAAGCCGUCCGCGAUGAUCAAAGGAGUGAGAAAAAGGACACUUGUCAAAUGACUCAAAGGUUGAAAAUCCAAGACAGUAUGGUAAAUGACAAGGGAGAAGGUGGGGUUGGCGUGGCACUAAUAUUGACAAUCACGCCAAAGUCGCAAAUUAUCGUGGCCACUCAUGGACGGACCUUGCCUUGAAUCCUCAACCUUCAAAACUAGAACCCACUAGAGACGUUACCUAGAAGUAAGCAAAUAACACCCCUCCACCUCCCUAAUCAUGUGCACUCUCUAUCGUCCAUCCACUUUCAAUGUACUCUCACAUGC